UACGUAGGGGGCGAGCGUUGUCCGGAUUUAUUGGGCGUAAAGGGCGUGUAGGCGGCUUGGCAAGUCGGGUGUGAAAGCUCCAGGCUCAACCUGGAGAUGCCACCCGAUACUGCUAUGGCUAGAGUCCGGUAGGGGACCACGGAAUUCCUGGUGUAGCGGUGAAAUGCGCAGAUAUCAGGAGGAACACCAGUGGCGAAGGCGGUGGUCUGGGCCGGUACUGACGCUGAUGCGCGAAAGCGUGGGGAGCAAACAGGAUUAGAAACCCCCGUAGUCC
rnacentral:rRNA from 1 species